CAGGCCGAGCGUCCGCUCCCGACUUGGGCCCGCGCGCCGCUUUAGGGCCGCGGGCUGCUUGGGGGCGCCGAGCCCGUGCGGCCUCCCCCGCUUUGGGACCGCCGCCAGGAAUUGGCUAUUGGAGAACGAUAAAAAGAGGAAAGUGCCUAUUCACAGCUGCACAGGAACUGAGGCUCUGCUGCGAGACACACACAAGGAUGACAGGAUUGCCCUGCUGAUACCUGUAUUCUGCUCACAUCCCAGAGCAGAUGACAGCAAUGGAAACACCUGUGAUUAUGGGGAGAGAAGUGCGUCUCUGCAUGGGCCAUGAGGCUUCUCCAUCUGCACAGGAUGGGACUCAGGUAAGUGGAGCACACAGAAGAGAAUGAAGCCGUACUUGCGAUACGAGAAGGUGACUUUCUUCACCUCCUUGGUAACAUCUGUCUUCAUCUCCUCCGUGGGCUUGGUCUUCUCUCUCAGAGCUGGAUUGAAAAUGUUUGAGCGGAGCAUUCUGCCCACCUCACGCUGGAUUUCCUUGAGGUUUUUCUGUUUGAAGGUCACGAAAGCCACAUAGGAGGCAAAGUUGUACAGGCACUAAAUGCAAAGAAGGGCAUUACUGAUUUUAUUUCAUUUCUACAGCACCCCACAGCCAAAGCUUUCUGGACUUUCUGAGGCGUCACUAGUAUAAAACUGAAAAUAAUAAUAAUGAUGAUGAUGAUGAUGCCAUUUUCACAAGAAGCGGAUUCGAGGUGCCUGCAUUUGCAAAUGAACCACAGGGAUUAGAAUUAAAUUUUUAAAAUUUCCUGUAUGCCCCUUUCAAGGAGCAUCCAUUCCCUGGCAGCUGUCCAUUCUGUGGAUUUCCUCCAUGAGGCCGUUGUGGUGUAGCUGACUGCAUUAAGUAGCUACAAAAUGUUUCCCGAAGAGAGCCUACUCUGAGUGUAAUUAGCUAAGAAGUUUUAUCAGAAUACCUUCACUGGGCCAGAUGGCGCUGUCAACACAGGACACAUGGAAUUAAGCCUGAGAAACCACUGAGCAGGCUGGCCAGCCGGCCGGCCCACCCUGCAAGGUGGCAGCCGACCGCCAGGCCUUCCGCAUGCACAGCGGAUGCACGGACAAGUGGACCGAGCUGCACAAGCGUGAGGGGCUCCAAACAAGGGAGCAGAAAAGAACACAAUCCUCUGGCCACACAGGAUGCUGGCUGUGGGUCAAGACAGCUUGCUGGUGUGUGUGAAAAGGGAACUUUUCCGCACUGUGAUCGUGUGUGCGUGCCAAGGUAACAAUAGACAAGAAAUGUGUAAAAAUGUUGGAUCCUGCUUUAUCCCCUCAUACGCUCAAGCUCCCAUUCUCGGCUGAGCCACUUGUGUGUGGGGUGGACGCCUGGUAUUACAGCCUCGGGUCAAACAACUGUAGCCACCCACAUAGGUCGGCUUCGCCAAAGAAAAUGCUUCUCCUGUGGGUAAAUUCUCAGUGUGCGGCCAUGUGGGCGGCCACGUGCAGGAUCAGGGCCAGCGUCAAGACCUCCAGCCUCUCCUGCCUGAUCCUGUUCAUUCAGAGGGGCAGAGCCAUUUAUUGCACCUGAAAUUCUAUCUAUACUCACUUGCAUUUAAAUCCCACUGAACUAGCUGGAUCUUACUUCUGGAAAGACAUGUCUAGGACUGCAUUGUAAGAUUACUUUUAGCAAAAGCCUGAAGAUUGUCAAGACUGCAUGUUUACAAAGCAUCUGUGCAGCGCUGGCCCUUCCCCAGCUGAUACUUUUUAUGUUUCACAUUUUCACUAUGGUUCUAAAACUCAGUGAACCAAAGAUGGUUCCUGCGGAGUUUGGGGCAGUGCAAGACUAUUGUUUUCCUCUGAAACUUCUUGCCUUCUGUGAACUUUUCUUCUAACAGAUCUCUGUGCAGAUCUGUUGGAUUCCCUCCAACAGUUGCUCUCAGGUGAUCCUGCACUCUUCAGCCUGCCUGUCUGCAAAAGCCCAAAGUCUUCACAGUAACACACACAAAAGGAGAAAGUGCAGAAGGAGCAAAAACAAUUUCACCACAAAAAGACUGCCAUCUUUACCUCCAUGCUGCUGGAAGACAUAAAACCAUCAGAAAUUCAGGUGGCUUUUCCUGACAUAAGAAAUGCAGCAAUGGGCAAAGCCGUAUUUCUGAAUUUCUGCCUGAUAUGUAGCUGCUAAGGCCGAGAAUGCAAAGUGGGCCGUCUGUGCUUAUUUCUACUCUGCAGCUGAGAAGCCUCUCUCUCAACCCCUCUGUGGUGGUCGACGGAAUCCCUGGAAUCUGUUUGAUAAAGAAAAUGAAAACCCACAUAGGAAGCCACGCAGAGGAAGUGGGGAAAGCAAGAGUUCACAAGAACGCCUCACGGGGCGGGCCGGUCUGUGCAUGCAGCACAACGAGGAGCUCACUGCAUGCUUGAGAGUUAGAUAUGGCAAGCACAAUCGAUUUAAUGUUUCUACUUUCUGAAGAAAUCUUUGGGAGAGAGAAAAGCCGGGGUUCCUGCAUCGUUAAUAGUUCCGCAGAAGAGACAUCUUCUCCAGCAAGCCCUGUUAAGCGUGCAAGGUGCCCUGAACCUCCUUGCCUCUGGAGGGCGAGACGCAGAGGUCGGACGGGAAUGCUUCCAAGCCAGGUGCAUUGCCUUGACACACAGCAUGAUGCGCGGGCAGCUGGGCAGGGCUGCCACUUUCAAAGCAAAAGAGGGAAGCACCGUGAAUGGAGGAAGCAGAUGACGUCUCAAGUGCAUACAAAAAGACGGGAAGGGUGGCCUGAAAUCAGUAUUUUUCUGCACCCUUGAGAUUUCUCUGCCUCUGCUGAUCUGCGCUUGCAGUUUUAACCACUGCUUCACAUAUGGACAGAUGGCGCUUUUCCCACCACACAUCAGAGUGACCAUAAAAGCUGCACCAGCCAGAUGGCUUGAAUGUUGAAGGCAUCAGAGCAGGGCAGCCAGCAACAAGAUAGCAGCUUGGCCCCUAAGGCAGGAGAGGAGCCCAGAAGCCUUCCUGAGCCCUUAAAUUUGCCCCUUCUUCAGGUUUUGCUCCAGUCUUUCCCCCUUUCACACCCUCUCCUUCUCCUGGCAUGCCCAGAAGAGCGCUUGCCUCAGCAGGCAGGAUGGCUGGGACUGGGGAGCACCUGGCAGGAAGCAAAGGGUCCGUUUCAUCUCCAGAUCUGGCAACAUGCACAAAGGUAUUGAGGGAAUUUCCGGAGGGUGAGCCAGCAGCCCCACCGGAACAGCUGAAUUCUCCCUGGCCAUGGAAAAUAGCCAGGCUCUCAAUGCCACAGGUGCCCCUCUAUCCAGCAGACUAUAAACAUUGGUAUUCAGGGACUAACAGACACUCCUCUGUGAUCUUGCCAAGCUUGCAAGCCCUCACUGAAGGCCUUGCUGGAAGGAGGAGUCCUACCUGUGAAGCAGCUAUGCCCCCUGCCACUUCAGCCAGAGUCACCUGAGCACAGCGGGGCGCUGCAUCCCGGCAUGGCCCUCACUUUUUGGCUGGCAAGCCACAGCCGCAUGGGUACAGAUGCUUCUUCUCACACCGACAACAUUCAACUGGUGAAACAGGGAGGCCGCCCACAAACGGACCCUUUGCGCUGAAUGAGUAAGAGCCCCGGUUCCCAGCGCUGUGUGUGCGUCUGUCGCCAGCAGCAAAACCCUGCACAAGCCUUUCUGGGGCUACCCAACAAGUUCACACUUGUCCUCAGCAUCAGGGCAAUGGUCAAAAGACAGACGUUCAAACUACAGCCCAAGAACUAAACUUGAUUCAUGGAUACCUCAGGGCAAUGACCUUUCCAGGAUAAGCUUGGCUUUGCAUUCCAAGACAAAGAGAUGGGCUCUUCCUUCAUGCUUCUGCCCAAGAAGCAAACAGAGAUGUGUUUGGGGGCAUUUACUAACCCCAGGUAUUUUCUAAUGUAUCCUGAAAUGGUAAAAAGCCUCACAAUCAGAAAUGUUUGUUUGGUGUUAGAGUAAGUACGUGCAAACUCAAAAUAUUAGAAAAGUAUCAUCAACAGUCAAGGUAAAACUAUGCAAGACACACAGAUACACACACACCCCCCUUCUCUGUGACACAAAAGCUCCCCAAUGAAAUCUCCUGGCUUCUGCCCACUUCCUGACACUCACUGCAGUUAACCCUUUCUCUCUAGUAAGGUCUUGGGGAAAUUCCACUGGGCAUUUUUACAGGACACUGCUUGGUUUGGGAGAAGUGAGAUUCUCCAAUGGCAAAACCCAGUUGAUUCUGGAGCGAUUUUAUACUACAGGUGUGUUUUUGCUUCCAGAAAGAAAAUGGUAAGAGAUAAGAGCUUGAAAAUUGGGAAUAUUAAGCAGGUGGCAGAAGAUGGCGAUGUCAGAAAAGGACUAUGUUAUGAACAUUCUGGGGAGUAAAGUGCAUUUGAGGUAACUUUGUUUCCCCACCUGACCGAAAGAUUUUAAAUGCUCCAUCAGACCAGCCAAAGCCCACUACUCCAACUCCACAUUUCUCCAAAAGGGACAGCACUUGCGACUCCCAAAUGCAGUUUGUUCCAAGACAGCCCUUGCAUUUGAAGCCUGCCUUCUCUGACCCAAACCGCACUUUCGUUUUUUUCCCCUUCCUACACAGACAGCUAGUCCGCAUCCCCUUUAGUGGUGGGGGAAACAGAGGAAGGCACUGCCUCCUUUCCAGCAUUUUCCCACCAUUCGGGAGAGCUAAGGAAGUUCAUCUGAAAAUUAAUUCCAAAAAACGCUUCCAUCAAGCAUCCUGGCUGAUUAAUGCGACUAUCUGAGUCAAGAGUCCGGCCAGGUACGAGCUGAAGGCAACCCCUCAUUUCACAGAAAUCUGAUAUUAAAACACCCAGCAAUA